rnacentral:misc_RNA from 1 species
CGUUGACAAGAGGCCAUGUUUCGGAAAAAAAAGUGGCUGGCUACUUGUAGUGGGGAAGGGAUUGGAAAAGGUGAUAAAUGUCAAAUAUUUCAAGGCUGCGCUGUGAUGAUUCCAUUUUUUUCACAAACGUGAUAACGAUUGCAACAAAUAAUCAUUUUAAUACGCCGCAGUAGUGCAGUUGUCGUUCUUUGAUGUAAUAUCGCCGUAUCGUCAGCGGCGCAGUGAACCGCUAAUCGGAGAGGUUGUAACAACAAAGAAAAUUCAGCGUGUUUGAGAUGGGUUAUUACUGCACCGUGCCACAAUGUACGUCGCUUGCCGGCAAGACGAAGAACGUGAAAUUCCACCGGUUUCCGCGGGACGUGACCAUGGCUGAUAAGUGGAACUUAAUAUUGAAGCGCGGGAAGCCGUAUACAAAGUAUUCAAAGGUGUGCAGUCUACAUUUCACACAAGCAGACUAUAAUGUGACGACUAUGGGUAAGAUUAAAGGGCAAUGGAAAACGCUGAGCAAGGACGCCGUCCCUUCCCAGAACCUCCCCAAGCUGAACCCUGACGGCACAGUCAUGGUGAUCAGGAAGAGCCGCACCGUCAAAUACAGGGAAGGCAGGAAGGAUAGCACCGGUGACAAGAUCGACAAGUGGUCGGCGCCUAUCCAACCAAUUCUGCAGACUACCAAUCCUGAAGCUAGUCCAUCAGAUGCUCAUGAUCCUAACACUGCCUACCGCCUUCAGGCGCUGAGCGCGAUCGCCAGCGCUCUGCCGCCCCAAAUGCCGACACAGCCGAUCAGCAUCAGUCUAAGUCAGUCGAUAAAGCCCAAAAAGCAGGACGCCUUCAUGCAAACAGACCCUGUCCAAACGGAAGAGGGUGACAACCAGCCCAACAAUAGUUACAGCGAGACAUCAGACAACUCGUUCAACUCUGAACAGAUGGACUAUUCCAAAGACCCCUACACGGCAUACCAAAAAGAGAAGGAGUACAUAGAAAGUGACAGAAAAUACGAAUCGCCAAAGGACUACACGAAACAAGACGAUUAUAUGCCACAGACAAACGAAGAAUACAACAAGGAAGCUGAGAAAUACGCUUUAGAACGCAAAUCGCACAAUGGCUACGAGAAACAAGUCAUAGAUUACGAAAAACCGGUUAUGGAUUACCAAAAACAGGAUUACCAGAAACCUGAUUAUCAAAAACAAGAUUACCAGAAACCUGAUUACCAGAAACAAGAUUACCAGAAACCUGAUUACCAGAAACAGGAUUACCAGAAACAGGAUUACCAAAAACAAGAUUACCAGAAACCCGAUUACCAGAAACCUGAUUACCAGAAGGUUUUAGAGAAUGGUUACCAGAAAAUGCCGGAUGUGUACGCGGGGUUUGAAAAAGAUUACCAAAGGAAUGAUUAUAUCGGCUACCAAUAUACGGAUAGUGUGGAAUUGUUGCGGAAUCAACAACACAACUUGGAAAUGCUUCAACAGCAACACAGAGUUACGGAAAAUCAGAAUUUUUUCAACGAAAACCAUAUUAAGCAGGAGAUCGAUAUGAAUAGUGAGGAGGAGAAGUUUAUGUAUGAGAGGGCUAAGGAUCAGUUAGACGCGAGCGUAAUGUACACCGGACACAGGACUGUGGCGCAGCAGCAGCGCCUCCUAGAGCACCUACAGCAUCAGGUCAAACAGGAACCGGAGUCUGGAGCGUGUGACAACGUGAUGCAGCCACAAGGCAGCCCGUACUACGCUGCUAAUGGCCACACUAACCCUCCUGGCGGUUACUACGACCAGCUGUCACGACCGGGCCCAGAGUUGCUGAUAGCGAAACAAAACGCACUCGCGGCGCAUACGCAACUAUGGCAAAAUACUAUGAAAAGGCCGUUUUUUUAUAGCGAGACACCUCAUUAUUCUGCGCUCCAUAGAUAUGAGGAUCUAACGAGAAUUCUCCAGUGAUACCGAGAGACAUUCCAAAGGUAUAAUUAAAAAAGAAUUAUAUAGUUCUCCAAAUGACGAAAAUCUCUCAUCAUUGUUUUUGUAAUAAUAUAUUUUUAUUGUACUAUUUUAUUAUUAAUAUUACGGUCCUAUAAAAACUUGAGGAGGCAUUUGACACAUACGUAAACGCUAUCCCUAAGGGGCAGGGCAGAGCUGUGUAAUUUCACUGCAUGUAUGACAAAGUAUCAAAAUAUACUCACUUUUUUAUAGGACUGUUUGAAUAAGGUAUUGUUAUUAAAGUUUCGGUGAUUUUAAUAUUUUUCUCAAAAAAAAAAACAUAGUACAAUCCAUUCGGAAGUCGCCGAAUCAAUCAAUCAAUAAUUCUUUAUUGCAGAAAGACAUAAGUAAAGGACAUGUACAAACUAGUAAAAUAAGCACAACAGGCGGCCUUAUAGCUGAACAGCAAUUUCUGCCAGGCAACCUUAGGCCGAAGUGUAAGGUGUUGGAAUAACUCUUGCGUUUGUUGUGGAUUUAACCGUAGAGUAAAUGCGUAGGGAGUUGUUAAGGCAAAUCUUUGCAAUGCGCUUGUUUUUCUUCUUCUAUCGUGUGGGUUGUAAGGUGGAUUACCAACCCUAUCAACCCUGGUGUCAGGGUUACUAUUGAGCCGCC